UUAGGAAGCACCGGCUAACUCCGUGCCAGCAGCCGCGGUAAUACGGAGGGUGCGAGCGUUGUUCGGAUUUAUUGGGCGUAAAGCGCGUGUAGGCGGUUUUUUAAGUCUGAUGUGAAAGCCCCGGGCUCAACCUGGGAAGUGCAUUGGAUACUGGGAGACUUGAAUACGGAGAGGGUAGUGGAAUUCCUAGUGUAGGAGUGAAAUCCGUAGAUAUUAGGAGGAACACCGGUGGCGAAGGCGGCUACCUGGACCGAUAUUGACGCUGAGACGCGAAAGCGUGGGGAGCAAACAGGAUUAGAUACCCUGGUAGUCCACGCCGUAAACGAUGAGAACURGGUGUCGSGGGUAAAGGGCGMMYYCKGA
rnacentral:rRNA from 1 species